AGGAUCCGCAUCGCGAAAAACAUAUUCUUGGUCGUACUGAUGGUGAGUUGACGCUGAUCUUAUAUUCAGUAGUUCUUCUCGGCUGAUAAUUGACCCCUAAUGAAACCUAAGAUGACCUGGGGUACUAGUGUAAGAAAUAACACGUAAAAAAACAAAAAACUGCAUAGUUUCCUAGGAACGCGAAGCGAGUGAAUGGCGGGAGUCUACGUAAUCACACAAUAGAUGAUGCAUUCAGUGUACUAUUUUCAACAUUUCAUAUACUAUAGAAUUGUAUUUUUCGGCAUACUAUUUAGUACGCUACUAUGGGUAUUUGGACACAGGCAUUGUGUGAUUUAAGGCAUAUAUAAGCCUAAAAAGUCUGUUACAUAUCGUGUUUGUACUGUGUAGGCUAUAUGAUGUUCACAAAUGCCUAUUUCAUUACUUCCAUUCAACUACUUGAUUUUUCCCCCAAGACACUUUUCAAUGAGAAAAAUAAUGCAGUUAGUCAAGUUCAUGCAGAUUUUUUGUUGAGACUUUUUGGGGUCAUUUUAGCAGAUGCGCUUAUCCAGAGCGACUUACAAUUUUUUAAGAAAGCUGGGUGAGACAACCACAACACAGUCGUAACAAGUACAAUUUUCCUCACUAAAGUACUUAUCAGCAACGUUCGGGCAGGGACUCUUCUGUCUUAGCUUCAGGGGGAAGCUGGUUCCACCAUUGGGGUGCCAGGACAGAGAAGAGCUUUGACUGGUCUGAGUGGGGGCUGAUCCCUCGUAGGGGUGGGACGGCCAAGAGACAAGAGGAGGCAGAACAGAAUGCUCGGGUUGGGGUGUUGGGUUUGAGCAUAGCCUGAAGGUAGGAAAGGGCAGUUCCCCUUGCUGCUCUGUAGGCAAGCACCAUGGUCUUGUAGUGGAUGCAAGCUUUGACUGGAAGCCAGUGGAGUAUGCUGAGGAGUGGGGUGACAUGGAAGGUUGAACACCAGGUGUGCUGCGGCAUUUUGUAACAGUAUUUUUAUUGGAAUUUCACAAUUCUCUCCCAUAUUAAGAGAUACAACAACCGAGACAAAGCACACAAAAAAACAGCACUCACUUACACAUACCUACGCAUAUAUAUACACAUAUAUAUACACGUACACACAUACAUACACACACAUACAUACAUACCACACCCAUACAUACGUACACCAUUUUCCUCCUCCCGCUCGGUGCUUCUCUCAUCCCAUCCCCAUCAUUGCGUCUCUCAAUACAUACAUUUUAAACAAACUUACAAACAGAAAUUAAACAAAAAAGCUCAGUUUAAACCAAGAAGUUAGGUUCCACACAUGGAACGUACAGUGUAGUUCUGAAAUACAUAGAUCCCCGCCAUUCUAAGAGAAUCCUUGCAACAUAAUAGCUGAUACCUCAUGUUCUAGAUAAUUUAGAUAAGGUUCCCAUACUUUGUAGAACUGGUCUGUUUUAGAAUGCAAUGUACAUGUCAGAUAUUCCAGAGGCACCCAUUCAAAUAGUAUCUUAUGCCAAUCUUUAAUAGAAGGAAUCUUAUCACUAAUCCACUGUAAAAUGAUGUUUUUCCUCGCUGCGAAGGUAAGGAUGUUGUGAAGCCUCCUUUUACCCACAGAAGUAACAUGCCUACUAGGGAGAUCAAACAGUAAAGAAACUGGGUCCAAUUCUAGAUCAACCCCUAGGAUCUUUUCAAUUUCUUGCAGAACACCAGACCAGUAUCUUUGUAUUUUGGUACAUGACCAUAAACAAUGUGUUUGGGUGCCUGUAUCAGUUUUGCAUUUAAGACACUGAGGGGAAGAGGAAGUGGGGCUAAAAGUAUGUCUGCGAUUUGGGGAUAUAUGCAAUCUGUGUAUUAUUCUUAAUUGGAUUGCUCUAGUAUGAUUACAUAUAGAUAUUGUUUUUGCAUAUCUCCAAAUGUCCUCCCACAUCUCUUUGUCAAUAGUAACAGACAAUUCUUUCUCCCACACUAGUUUCACCCUCUGUGUGUUGACAGCAGAAAAGGACCUUAAAGUAUCAUAAAACAGACUUAGACAUUUUCCUUUGUGGGAAAAAAAGCAUUCUUUCAAUGACAGACACAUCAGGGUUACCAAUUAAGGUGGUGCUCUUCAGAAUAUAAUGUCUUACUUGUAGGAAGCGGAUAAGUCCUGCUUUGGGAGUCGAUAUUUCUCGACCAUCUGCUCAAAUGACAAUAAAAUCUUAUAAGCAAAUAAGUCAUUUAGCCUGCGUAUGCCCUUAUUAAGCCAAAAGUUAAAGCCAGCAUCCAGCAAUCCUGGACUGAAAUCUGGGUUGUUAAGAAUUGGGGUAAGAGCAGAGGUUAGUUUGGACCUUCCCAGGAAGCGUUGAACUGACCUCCAUACUUUGAGUGUGUUAAGUGUAACGGGAUUAUUGCAGUGAUCUUCUACAGACUUGAAACUUCUGAAAAAUAAAAGAUCCUGUAAGGGUUUUUUUAUUUUGAAAGAGAAGUCUCAAUGUCUAACCAAAUAGAGGAGUCAUCAUUUGUGAUCCAGUCAGAAAUAUAACAAAGGUGGGCUCACCAUUGAUAGAACCUGAUAUUGGGCAGGUCCAAGCCGCCCAUAGAACUUGGCAGCUGCAAUAUUACCAUCUUAUGUCUUGGCUUGCGUUUACUCCAUAUAAAUGAACUUAGCCAUCCAUUUACAUCCUUUAUUACCUUAUUGGAGAGUAACACUGGGAUCAUUUGGAUUGGGUAAAGUAGUCUAGGUAAAACAUUCAUUUUCAAGAGGGAUAUUCUACCCAACCAAGAAAUCGGGAGAGAGUUCCAGCGCUCCAGAUCUUAUUGUAUCAAACAUGGGAACAAAAUUGGCUUUGUACAUUUGCUGGAAUUUAGGAGUUACAAAUAUACCCAGAUACAUGAAACCUGAGGGAGACCAUUUAAAAGGGAAGGGGGGGAGAAGUAUUAGGUACAGAGUGUAGGCUACCAAGUGGCAUAGCCUCUGACUUACUUAGGUUAAUCUUGUAGCCUGAGAAUUUGCUGAAUAAUUCAAUAAUAUUAAUAAGAGAUGUAAUUGAAGUCUCGGGACUAGAGAUGAAUAUCAGAACAUCAUCAGCAUACAAGCUUAUUUUAUGGUGAACAUCACCAAUGAGCAGCCCCUUUAUAGCAGGCGUUACCCUGAUGGCCUCGGCCAGUGGUUCCAUAACGAGUGCAAAGAGGAGAGGGGAUAAAGGACAGCCCUGUCUGGUACCUCUGUGUAUAGAGAAGCUAUUUGACCUUAGCCCAUUACUAAGGACAGCAGCCUGAGGAUCAUCAUAUAAAACUUUCACCUAUUUUAUAAAGUUGUCCCCUAGACCAAAUUUAUUUAGAGCAAAUAAUAGGUAAGACCACUCCACACGAUCAAAUGCUUUCUCAGCAUCUAGGGAGAGCACACAACCAUCCAAAGCACUUUGUUGGUAGGCUUGAAUUACAUUAAGAAGCCGCCUGACAUUGUUGCAUGACUUACGGCCCUUAAUGAAGCCAGUUUGGUCUCCUUUCACAAUUAGUGGCAGUGAGUCCUCUAAUCUUGUGGCUAGAAUUUUAGAAAGCAAUUUUCUAUCCACAUUCAGAAGGGAAAUUGGUCUGUACGAGGAACAAGACUUUGGACAUUUUCCCUUUUUGAGAUAAGUGAAAUGUUGGCUUCUCUCAGCGUUUGAGGGAGCUGGUCAUUUGAAAAUGAGUGGUUAAACAUAUCACACAAUGGCUCAAGGAUCAGGCCAAGGAAAUCUUUAUAGAACUCACUACAAAACCUGUCUGGUCCUGGGGCCUUACCAUUUUGCAGAUUCUUAAUUGCGAACAUUAUCUCUUCCUUGGUAAUAGGGGCAUUAAGGAGAGACCUCUGUUCUUCGGAGAUAGUAGGGAGCUCAAUCUUACAAAAUAAGUUCUCCAUUAAUUUGGGUGCAUCCUUUGGCAGUUCUGAGGCAUAAAGGUUUGUAUAAAAUGUCUUAAAUGAGUCACUUAUCAAUUUAUUUUCAUAUAAAUGAUUACCAUCAGAAUCAGUAAUAGUAGCAAAUGACUGAGAGUCAGCUCUCUUUUUAGCUAGGUAUGCCAAGUACUUUCCUGGCUUAUCGCCAUGUUCAUAUAGCUUUUGACUGACAAAUCUCAUUUUCUUUUCAGCGUCCUGUGUUAGGAGAGAGUCUAACGUUGAUCUAAUGACUGAUAUUUCCUUUAAUAGGGCAGGAGUGGGAGUUUUAAUGUAGUCCUCUUUAGUUCCUAAUUCAACCUCUAACAUUUUUUGCUUUCCACGCUUUUUCCGUCUCUUAGUGGCUGUGUACGACAUAAUCAGACCCCUGGCAUACGCUUUACAGGUUUCCCAAAGGAGCGAGGGGUUAUCUGUUGAUUGAGAGUUAAUAGAGAAAAAUGCUUUAAACUCUGUAAUAAAAUAUGAUGUGAAUGUAUGGUCUUUAAGAAUGGUUGUAUUCAACCUCCAAUGUCUUGACCGAUUGAAUGCCCCGUUGAGUUUUAUGUCCAGGAUCACCUCAGCAUGAUCAGAUAUGACUAUGCUAAAACAGACUGCAAAGACGUCCUGGGCAUAAAAAAGUAAUCUAUUCUAGUCUGACAUCCAUGAGGUGCAGAGAAAAAAGUGAACUCUGUUGGAGGGAUGAAAAGCUCUCCAGACAUCCGCAUACCCCAGAUCAUCACAAAUAGCUUUAAGUGACUUAGCUUGAGGAGAGAGUGAAGCUAUACCGCUGGGAAACUUAUCAAUAAGGGGGUUCAACAAGCAGUUCAAAUCUCCUCCAACCACUGCAGUGUCCGAGUUUAAUUCUGAAAAGUCUAGAAAUACCUUAGUGAGGAAAUCAGAGGGGUGGGCAGGGGGGAAGUAAAUAUUCAUUAUGGAAAUGUUCUGCCCUUGUAAAGUACCAUUAAUUAUAACAAAGCGACCAAAUUUAUCUUUCACACAAUUCAAGACCUUAAGUGGUAAGUUCUUUUUCACCAGAAUUGCUACACCUCUACUUCUGGAUGUAAAUGAUGAGAAAAACACUUGACCAAACCCCCUUGUUGUAAUUUCAGGUGCUCCUUAUCAUCCAAAUGAGUUUCUUGCAACAGGGCAAUAUCAAUAUUUUAUUUUUUCAAAAAAGACAGUACCUUCUUCCUUUUAAUGGGGUUAUGGCUCCCUCUAAUGUUCCAUGUACAUACAUGCAGUCUGUUACCUGCCAUUGUGUCUUGACCAUUCAAUAUCCAGACUGGAUCCUACUGUAAAAGUGGGGUGGUACCUUUUUCCAUGUGUUGAACUCUCUAUCUCACCGAGCAUAAACAAACAAUAUGAACCCUGAACUCGAACUAUACUAAACCCCAAAAUUAAACAUGUAAAGAUCCAAAAGGGGGUUACGGUUCCCACUAGCUAACAUGCAGGGGAUUUCAACUCUCCAAUGUAGACUCUUAAGUCCGCAUUGCCGCUCAAUAGCCUCAUCCUUUAUAUGUAUGGAGAAAAAAAAUCAAUAGAAGAAGAUUGAGGCUCUUCCACCUAAAACCAAGCCUGGGCACCAAUAUGGAUUCACACAUAUCUCAGCCUGAGCUAUAGUGGCUAUUACUUUAGCAAGAAAAAUAAUAAAGAUACAAAUAUUACUGAGCCGGAGUACGUGAGGACUCACACCACUGUUUCAUGAUCAAAUUCAACCAAAAAUAAACAAAGUUAUCCAAUGCUGCGGAGGUGCAGCUUAAAGUUAUUUACCCGAUAGAGUCAAUAAACGCAGCAGCCUCUUCAGGUGUGUAGAGUUUUUUAGGCGAUCCGUUGACCAUAAUCUUCAAUGUGGCCGGAUACAGCAGUGCGUAGUCCAUCUUCAUUCUCUUGAGUCGAGCCUUCGCCUCAAACGCUUUGCGUCUUCGUACAACCGCAGUGGAAUAAUCAUUGAAGAAUGAGACCUUUGGACUUUUUACGUUGACCACCAUCAGAGCCGAUGUUUCUAGCCGCAUCCAUGACGCGCUGCUUGUCGGUGAAGUUGUGGAACUUUAUAACCACCGGCCGUGGGCGCUGGUUGGGACCAGGUAUCGGUGCUUGAGAGCGAUGGGCUCUGUCCAGCUUCACACGACCAGCCUUAGUGUCCAUUUGUAGGUAGCCAGGGAUCCAUUCCUCAAAGAAUUUUACUGAACGGGUCCCUUCAGAAUUUUCCGGGAGUCCCACAACACGAAUAUUGCAUCUGCGUCCUCGAUUAUCCAAGUCGUCAAUGUGCUCCGCCAUUUCGCGCACACCUGUUUCUCAAGUGCUUUUAUCUUAGCGUUGUGGGAGAAAGAUGUACAUAUAGGGAGGAACAUAAUACUGUAACACAAGAGAAAGAUACACUUAGAGUGCAUUU
ensembl:lncRNA